CGUAAGUAAUCUACCUUCGAGUGGGGAAUAACAGUCGGAAACGACUGCUAAUACCGCAUAAUGCAGCGGCAUCGUAAGAUGACAGCUGUUAAAGGAGCAAUCCGCUUGAAGAGGAGCUUGCGGCAGAUUAGCUAGUUGGUAAGGUAAUGGCUUACCAAGGCUACGAUCUGUAACCGGUCCAAGAGGACGGUCGGUCACACUGACACUGAAUAACGGGUCAGACUCCUACGGGAGGCAGCAGUCGGGAAUUUUGGGCAAUGGGGGAAACCCUGACCCAGUAACGCCGCGUGAAGGAUGAAGUAUUUCGGUAUGUAAACUUCGAAAGAAUAGGAAGAAUUAAUGACGGUACUAUUUAUAAGGUCCGGCUAACUACGUGCCAGCAGCCGCGGUAAUACGUAGGGACCAAGCGUUGUUCGGAUUUACUGGGCGUAAAGGGCGCGUAGGCGGCAUGACAAGUCACUUGUGAAAUCUCCGGGCUUAACUCGGAACGGCCAAGUGAUACUGUCACGCUAGAGUGCGGAAGGGGCAAUCAGAAUUCUUGGUGUAGCGGUGAAAUGCGUAGAUAUCAAGAGGAAUACCUGAGGU
rnacentral:rRNA from 1 species